rnacentral:rRNA from 1 species
GACGAACGCUGGCGGCGUGCCUAACACAUGCAAGUCGAACGGAGCAGAUCCCUUCGGGGGUUUGCUUAGUGGCGAACGGGUGAGUAACACGUGGGCAACCUGCCCUGCAGACUGGGAUAACUUCGGGAAACCGGAGCUAAUACCGGAUAACACCGAAAACCGCAUGGUUUUCGGUUGAAAGGCGACUUUUAGCUGUCACCGCAGGAUGGGCCCGCGGCGCAUUAGCUAGUUGGUGAGGUAACGGCUCACCAAGGCGACGAUGCGUAGCCGACCUGAGAGGGUGACCGGCCACACUGGGACUGAGACACGGCCCUU